rnacentral:tRNA from 1 species
GUAAAGGUGCCUGAAAAAAAGGGCUGUCUUGAUGUGAUAGAAAUGGAUGUUUUCCCCUUUACU